CGUAGGGCGCAAGCGUUGUCCGGAAUUAUUGGGCGUAAAGAGCUCGUAGGCGGUGUGUCGCGUCUGCUGUGAAACUCGAGGCUCAACCUCGGGCUUGCAGUGGGUACGGGCACACUAGAGUGCGGUAGGGGUGACUGGAAUUCCUGGUGUAGCGGUGGAAUGCGCAGAUAUCAGGAGGAACACCGAUGGCGAAGGCAGGUCACUGGGCCGCAACUGACGCUGAGGAGCGAAAGCAUGGGAGCGAACAGGAUU
rnacentral:rRNA from 1 species